UACGGAGGAUCCAAGCGUUAUCCGGAUUUAUUGGGUUUAAAGGGUGCGUAGGCGGAUUGAUAAGUUAGAGGUGAAAUGUCCGAGCUCAACUCGGGAACUGCCUCUAAUACUGUUGAUCUAGAGAGUAGAUGCGGUAGGCGGAAUGUAUGGUGUAGCGGUGAAAUGCUUAGAGAUCAUACAGAACACCGAUUGCGAAGGCAGCUUACCAAUCUAUAACUGACGUUGAGGCACGAAAGCGUGGGGAGCAAACAGG
rnacentral:rRNA from 1 species